UCAGAGAUGAGACAAGACUGAACAGGAAU
rnacentral:piRNA from 1 species